rnacentral:rRNA from 1 species
AUGCGUUGCCGGAAUCGAGCAAUUAGACUGCAACUCCAAAGGUUCAUAAUCACUGGAUUUCUGAGAUCGAAACAUUCAUCAUUCUCUGAGAGGAAACUGUCGAUGGUGAAGAAGCGGGAGGAGAGCCAGAAGAGCAAAGCCAACAGCAGAUGUGCUUCAGGGCCGAGCAGAAGAAGUCGUCGAAGCUGUCGUGUCAUGGGAGGACACCAAGCAGAAGGCCGCCCCUCACGUGAAGCUCUGAACACAAGACAAGAGGCCUCGACUCUGAAUCAAUCUGGAACUUGCCUAGUUGCCUUCCUGGCGGAUCCUUUAGUUGCAAAGUGCAGAUUCAGAGGAUCACGUCAGAUUCAGAGGAUGACGUCAGCAUGGUGA